rnacentral:rRNA from 1 species
UAUGUAGGGUGCAAGCGUUAAUCGGAAUUACUGGGCGUAAAGCGUGCGCAGGCGGCUUUGCAAGACAGAUGUGAAAUCCCCGGGCUUAACCUGGGAACUGCAUUUGUGACUGCAUGGCUAGAGUGCGGCAGAGGGGGAUGGAAUUCCGCGUGUAGCAGUGAAAUGCGUAGAUAUGCGGAGGAACACCGAUGGCGAAGGCAAUCCCCUGGGCCUGCACUGACGCUCAUGCACGAAAGCGUGGGGAGCAAACAGG